CUUGUUACUCUCGUCUCACGUGGCAGCUGCUCUGUGCCCCUGAGUGUUUCAGUUUCCCCUUUUCCCAACCAUUUCCAGUUCCAGUACAUCUGUUUUGAGACGGGGCCACCACACUGCACACAGUGUGCAACAUGUGGGCGCACUCUGGAUUUAUACAGCGGCGACGUGAUGUUUUCUGUCCGAUUCGCUAUCCCUUAACGAUUCCCAACAUUCUGUUAGCUUUUCUGACUGUCGCUGCACAUUGAGUGGAUGUUUUCAGAGACCUAUCCACAAGGCUCCAAGAUCUCCUUCUUGAGUGAAGCAUGGAACCUGCAUAUCUCUGCACUAUUGUCAUGAGCACUGCAAGCCAGGGUGUGCCAUCCUGCAGCGUUUGUUGACCCUCAAGAAUAGACGUGGGGGAGAUGAUUCUGUGCAGAAGAGAUUGCUGUGGGACAUAGCGACAACCAGUUCAGCUUGUUGGUGGCAUUCAUGGAGCAGCUGCAGAUGGUUCUGGGCCUGAGAAACAAGUUCCAAGUGGUGGGAUGGAUCGCAUAGUAAUGCAGGUUUGGGAUGAGCAGUGCCUGCAGAACUUUUGGAUGCUCAAGGUCACAUUCCUGGAUCUGUGGUGCUGAACUCGUCAAAAUGAGAGCUGCACUGACGGUAGAGAAGCGAAUAUAGGUUAGACUGUGGAAACUUGCAACACCAGAUUGCUACCGGUCAGUCAGAGGUCUCUCAACUAAAUACAAGGAGCAAGCACACGUCUGCUGUGAGGGCUGCAUUUGGUGACAACACUGAGGAAUCUUGAAAAGAAGGAGGAGCUGUUGUUGUUAUCAACUGAAGAAGCCAGAUGUGUACAGUAUAUAUUAUGUCCACAUUACACAGACAUAGGCCUUUUUCUCGCUGCUAAAAAAGUCUGAUUUUUUUAUCACCUUGCAAUAACAAAGGUGUUUGAGCUACUCUGAAGUAACAACACAAUGAGGACAAGGCACUUGAGUUUUAGCAGUGAGAGAAAAGGCUCAAAGAAAUGUCUCAAAAAUAAGAUCAGAGAGCAAUGCGCUGACAUGCAUGCGCCAUGGUACAGAAGUGUAAUUUUUGUGUUGAAACCUUGUGUACAAUGACAAAAGGGGGAAGUCCGUAUAAAGCACAAAGGUAGAUUUUCUGCCUAUUAGCUUGUUUUCAAAGGGAACUCAUAAGUAUUUCAAAUACUAUUUAUAAUGCUUUACACUACUUUCAAUGUUUUCUUUGCUAAUAAACUGUAUGACCUGCUCUGCAGUGGAAAGGGAAUAAUAAAAAAUACUCAGACUUUCAUUCAGGGUUUUACAUAUAAUAACCCUGAAAUUCAGCUCUGUGGAAUGUUUUCUAAAUAGUCCUGAAAACACAGAAAUGUGAGCUUGGUCCUCUUGUAUGGGGAGACUUUGGCAAACCAGUAAAGUGCCUAAAACCACUAAGGGUAUGGCUACACUUGCAGCCAUACAGCGCUGCCGUGGG